UAGUCUUGUUUUGUCUAAGAAGAGAAUGGCUCAGAGUAUGCAAAAGAGUGCAACAAGCAUGCACGAAGCUAUGCCUGAUACAUGACAACGGUCUCAUUAUGCCACACAGAUGUGACGAUAUCGCAGCCAGGCAUGUAAAGAUCAUGAGCUUAGUCAACUUAAUAGCCGAAGGCAAACAUCAUGUCAGAGGUGACAGACCUUGGUGUCAAGCAUGACGGCACAGAGGAUCUGGGUGUUAUGCAUUGCGAUCCUGAGGUUGUUCAAGGUCUCCUGAUGAUACUCGUGAGUACCGUGAGAGAAAUUGAACCGAGCAACAUUCAUCCCCGCCCUAAGAAGCUUCUCCAGCAUUGGCACCGUUCGAGAAGCCGGACCCAGAGUGCAAACAAUCUUAGUCUUGGGGAUGCGUCCAUCAUUCGGAAGCUCCUUCAAUAUACCUUCAAUAUCAAUGUUUGCCAUUUCACUGACAAUAAUUCUUCUCUAUCUGCAAAUCGUAUUUUUGCGGAUUCUUGCUCUUCUCUCGAGGCAAAACAGAACAACCCAAGAUGUCCAAAGAUUCAAACUUUAGCAUCCACCAACACAAUUUCCAACCAAAAGAACAAAUAUUUCGGACAGAUCCAGCCUCAAAGAGAAAGAAACAAACGUCCCGGAAGGAGAAAAAGAAAGACAACGAUCAAUCAGAGAACCAAAA